AAGAUGUAUCGGAGUGUUGAAGAGCAAGUUCCGCUGCUCGCAGCACUUUCGAACGAUGCUCUACAAGCCCCGAUCGAGCAGCGCGAAUAAUUUAUGCUCGCGUUGCUCUCCACAACAUUGCGUUGGAUGCGGGCGACUGGACCUUGGAAUGAGUAUGUUGGGGACAUGCCAUUAGCUGAGGAUGAGGAUGGGGAGCCAGGGGAGAGCCAUAUGCUCACGCGCCAAGUUCUGCUCAGAGGACAGCAGCAGCGCUGUCGUGGGCCUUUUUUAAUGUACACAGGAACGAGCCAUCAGCCAUGGCCCGUGCCAAGGACUGGAGCGCCUGCAGGACGCCCUUCUGCGCUGCUGCCGCCCUCUCCUGUGCCGCGGAAGCAAUGAGGGUGGCUGAUGUCUCGAUCCCCCACAGCACCUGCGAUGAAUCAUCGUGAUGGAAAUGUUUGCAUGAACUGCUGAUAAACUCUCGACCAUCUCGUGGCUGGAAGCUGCUGCGGCCAAGAAUUGCAACGUGCACAACAAUUUCUCCUCAGUUGAAGAUCCACUGGCCUGGAGGCAUCCUUUGAAAGUGCAAAGCUUCGUGUAAAAGCUAUGCCCUCUUUCUGCGGAUCAACAAACUUUUGCUGGAACUACUCUUCAUUCAUCUCCUCAAAUGCAUCUCUUACCAUCAAACAGCUCUUUUCAGAGAUAACCAGCCUUUUUCCCGGCAGUUUAUUAUUGCAGAUAUCAAAUACCGUGCCCUCAAUACAAUGCACGGGUCCUAUUUACAACCCAAGUUGGUUUCAGCCAUCAUACCAGAGCAUGAAGAAUGUUCGUGCCCUGUAUGUCAAAUCUAAACAAAGGGUCUACUCACCUCGAGCAACUCGUCGUUCUGCUCAAGGCUCCCGUCGCACUGGGAGGACAUGCGCAACAGAGUGUCGGCAAGGCCGCAGAGGAGACUGAGACGCUGAAAACAUGCAGCAUUUUGUAUAGUUUCACCGCAUGCUGUGAUACCCUUAAAUAGUGUGGCCAUGUUGUGGCUUAUUAGGCUACUUGAAUAACAUAUGAGAGGUGAGGUUAUUUUUUCUAGACACUUUGAGGAUCAAUAAUUUACCCGGUACAGCGGGCAGCUUUUCAGCGUCACUUGGUGUUUCUGUGGAGUAAAGAUUAAAAGUUCAUGAACUGCACAUACGUCCCGUUAUAAAUAAAGCACUAAGUUCUCAAAUG